UUUCCUCUCAUGCAUUAGUAUGUGUGGUAUUGACGUUUGUUUGUUUUGGAGUCAAUUCAGAAGUCGCAAGUGAUAUGGAUGCCGAAAUUUUUAUUUCGCUGCUAUGGAACAAGUUAAGUGAUGAACCUUUCUGAUCAAAGCGAAGCAAUGGUCACAGGCGCACGAGGGCAUCAUGGAGUAUAUUGCCAUGGAUUGUGUUAUUAACGACAACUUCCCUUAUUCGAAAUCAGUAUUGAUCGAGAUCAAGGAUGUGAAAUAAAUUUCCAACUGGUUCAUCAAGGGCAAAAUUUUGAGCGACUUCAUCGAGCUGAAUGUGAAGUUCGUCCUGACCCGGAACACGAUCGACGAUGAGGUGUCCGCAACUCGACUCGAGGAACUCAAACCAAAACUGUCCGAUCUGUGCUCGGCGAUCAAGAUGUUCCCCUGUCCGACACAAAAGUAUCGGUUCAGAUAGAGCGAAAUCACCCAGUUGUUGGCAUUUCUGAUUCGUCAUUCAUCGCCCAGGAUCCGCUUAUUAACAGCUGUGCGUUGAAGCGAAAUGCGUUCGAGAAGCUGUCCUUGCUCCAGGAGUACGUGCACCAGGAAUUGCGACAUAUGUAUGCUGAGCGCCUUUCUGGACGAAGAGAUAGUGAGAUAGUGUUUGAAGGAAAAUUACUAUGUAAUUUUAAUCGUAAGAAUAAUUACUGCAAUGGUGGAAUAAAAUAGACAGU